UACGUAGGCAGCAAGCGUUGUUCGGAAUUACUGGGCGUAAAGAGUGUGUAGGUGGUGCUCUAAGUUUGGUGUGAAAUCUCCCGGCUUAACUGGGAGGGUGCGCCGAAUACUGGAGUGCUCGAGGGUGGGAGAGGCAAGCGGAAUUCCUGGUGUAGCGGUGAAAUGCGUAGAUAUCAGGAGGAACACCUGUGGUGUAGACAGCUUGCUGGACCAUUUCUGACACUGAGACACGAAAGCGUGGGUAGCAAAC
rnacentral:rRNA from 1 species